CCCAACUGCGAAACGAACCCCACGCCGCGAAUACUCCGGCAGCUUCCUCCGGACGACCUGGAGCCACCCUGUCCCUGUGUCCCACGGUCUCGGAGCCCAACACCGCGUGACCACGCCGAGCCGCUCUUCCCCGGCGGCGAGCCCGGCAUGGCCAUGCUCCUCCGCCGCCGCCUCCCGGUGCUCCGCCUCCUCCGGCCGCUGCACACUGAAUCGGCGGCUUCGGCUUCCUCAUCGUCCUCCGCACCUCUCCCUCCUCUCCAGAAGCCUCACGCUGCCGCCUCGCCGUCCGUUGCGCCAGGGUCACGCCGCCUAGGGCUUCUCAAUGCCACGCCCCUCGCUUCGGCGCGUGGGGCUUCGGCAUCGUCCUCCUCCGCCGCCUAUCUUGCUAUCGGCGCGGCCGCCGCUCUCGCGACGCUUCCGGUAGUCUACGCCGACGGCAAUGAGCAGGGCUCAGUCGGCGCGGCUGUGGGUACUGAUCCCACCGAGGGGCAGGAUUUGGCUCGCAAAGAGAGAAAGAGGAUAAUGGAGCUCGCCCAGAGCCGAGGGAUGCAGCGCGGGUCGUACCCGCAGUUUGAUGUUGCAGUGAAGGGCCAAAAGGUGGUUGUUAAAUUCGACAUGCCAUCUACUUGCAAUGUAUCACACCUCAUUGUUGAUCUUGUAACCCACAUCGGACUUGAGGCAGAACAACAUGGUGGUGGCUCAGAGGUGCUAGUGCGUGCUUGGGACAGUCCAGCUGCGCGACAAAUCACAUUGAACCCUCCCAAGAAGAAUAGCACUGGAGAUCUCGAUGAAGAUGGUCUCUGUGUUUUAAUAUUUGAGCCACUUAUUGGUUCGGAUUAUUCUGAAAUUGAAUUCAUCAAGCGUGGGAGUUUUAGUUUUAAAGAACUUGAAGCUUUGAUCAGUGCUUUAAAAGUAGCUGGUGAGAAAGACGUUAAGGGGUCAUCAGGGAAGGGCAAUAAAAACACACCAAGAAAAGGAAGUGGUCAGAGAUCUAAACAUAUACCCUCUAUGGAGAAAAUUGCAUCCGAUUUAGAGGCCAUGGGAGUUGGAGUCUAUGGAUUUGACGAAACAUCUAGUGUUCCAAUGGAUGGCAUAGUAAUCUGGGAGAACCUUGCGGGAUAUGAACCUCAAAAAAGGGAAAUAGAGGAUACCAUACUUUUGGCUUUACAGAGUCCUGAAGUGUAUGAUGACAUUGCUCGAGGUACGCGCUGCAAAUUUGAGACAAAUCGUCCUCGAGCUGUUUUGUUUGAAGGCCCACCUGGGACGGGCAAGACAUCUUCGGCUCGAGUUAUUGCCAAACAAGCAGGAGUUCCACUACUAUAUGUGCCACUUGAAGUUAUUAUGUCAAAAUAUUAUGGUGAAAGCGAGCGCCUGUUGGGAUCUAUUUUUUCACUUGCAAACAAUCUUCCUGAUGGAGGUAUUAUAUUCCUAGAUGAGGUGGACUCUUUUGCUAGUGCUCGAGACAGCGAAAUGCAUGAAGCUACACGAAGAAUCUUGUCAGUAAUUCUGCGACAGAUUGAUGGAUUUGAGCAAGAUAGAAGGGUGGUAGUUAUUGCUGCAACAAAUAGAAAGGAGGACCUUGAUCCAGCUCUCAUCAGGUGUAGUUUUCUAUUGAUGCGUCUUUUCUUUUAUUGCAAGCAGUCCCGGAUAGUUUGGCAGUUCUUGUUCUCUUGCAAAAGCUCCCUUGUGUUUUUUGUUGUUGCCUAUUUCCUGUUAUAUCAAUGUCUAAUAGGCUACUAACGAGCCAAUAGUUCAACAACAACUAAGCUGCAUAGCCUUGUAGCAUUCUGAUCGUCGUGAUCAUAUUGCUAAUACAUAUUGUUUUACUCUGAAAUGUUUCUUUUUAUGGUUGACAUUUGCAGCCGUUUUGAUUCAAUCAUCUGUUUUGGCUUACCGGAUCAGCAAACUCGUAUGGAAAUAGCUGCCCGGUAUGCCAAGCACUUGACUAAAUCUGAAUUGGUCCAAUUUUAAUUGGCCACUGAAGAGAUGUCGGGAAGAGAUAUCAGGGAUGUUUGCCAACAAGCUGAAAGACACUGGGCGUCAAAGUUAAUAAGGGGGCAAGUUCCAAAAGAUGACAAGGGGGAGCCGAGUCUUCCUCCGAUCGAUGAAUAUGUUUCCUGUGCUGAACAGAGACGAAAGUCCUUGCCUGAUAGAACGAGAUGGACACCCAGGUCCGGGUCCCCUGCCCUUAAGUUAGCAUGAGGUAUAUAUAAUACCAAAUGGAGUUGAAAUGAAAAUGUAUGUAGGCUUUGCUAAACAGUUGUUUCUUGCGGAAAUGCUAAUACUUAGGAAAUGGGUAUCCAAAGUUUGAUAUCAGCACGCCUGAAACUUUGGAGAGUGGUUAUAGUGAAGGAUACAUGUUUCUUGCAUUAUCUUUCUAUAUUGAUGUACAUAGAUUAUCAGCACACACGUAUAUUGUGCCAAGUGCCAAAACCAUAUUUUAACAUGAGUACUUUGUAGAAAUUAA